AUUGAACGCUGGCGGCAUGCUUUACACAUGCAAGUCGAACGGUAACAGGCCGCAAGGUGCUGACGAGUGGCGAACGGGUGAGUAAUGCAUCGGAACGUGCCCAGUCGUGGGGGAUAACUACUCGAAAGAGUAGCUAAUACCGCAUACGAUCUAUGGAUGAAAGCGGGGGACCGUAAGGCCUCGCGCGAUUGGCGCGGCCGAUGUCAGAUUAGGUAGUUGGUGGGGUAAAGGCUCACCAAGCCAACGAUCUGUAGCUGGUCUGAGAGGACGACCAGCCACACUGGGACUGAGACACGGCCCAGACUCCUACGGGAGGCAGCAGUGGGGAAUUUUGGACAAUGGGCGCAAGCCUGAUCCAGCAAUGCCGCGUGCAGGAAGAAGGCCUUCGGGUUGUAAACUGCUUUUGUACGGAACGAAACGGCUCUGGUUAAUACCCGGGGCUAAUGACGGUACCGUAAGAAUAAGCACCGGCUAACUACGUG
rnacentral:rRNA from 1 species